rnacentral:rRNA from 1 species
AUUGAACGCUGGCGGCAGGCCUAACACAUGCAAGUCGAGCGGCAGCACGGGUACUUGUACCUGGUGGCGAGCGGCGGACGGGUGAGUAAUGCCUAGGAAUCUGCCUGGUAGUGGGGGAUAACGCUCGGAAACGGACGCUAAUACCGCAUACGUCCUACGGGAGAAAGCAGGGGAUCUUCGGACCUCUCGCUAUCAGAUGA